CGCACGGCUUCCUCCCCAGCUGCCCCGCCUGCCCGCGCCCACCGCAGCCCCCAGCUGGACCUCCUCCUCUUCCCUGUCCCCUUCCCCAAUGCCGGGCAUCGCAGAUUUCUCCAGAAAAGCCCUGUAACUUGGGAGACCUCUCAGGGCACAGAACGUCUCCGUGAAACCGCUAUUGGGGGCUGAACCAUAUUCUGGAGCUUCUCCGGGGCAGACCCAUGACUUCCGUGUCCUGUAGAUGAAUGAAUGAAUGAGUAAACAGGAGAGGGAGAGUCUACGUCCAUACCACCCUGAGCACACCUAACCUCGUCUGAUAUUGGAAGCUAAGCAGCGUCCGGCCUGAUGAGGGACCAAGAUGCAGAUCCGCAUGGCUGACACGUGGAAGACCUGGAAAUUGCAGUGAGACAGACUGACUCGCCUUUACUUCCUUCUCCCCCAGGCUGUGCUGCCUUCUGGGAAGCAGAGCUGGCCAGGGUAAACCAGCCAGGUGGAACGGCUCUGUGGGGGUAGGUCAGCUGGAUCCCCUGAUACUUAGGGAGCCUGGCUCCCUGCCAGCAAAAUGGGGGCCCACUGGGAAUGAGAUCGAGGAUACGUGGGGUCAGCCACUGGCCCUGCUGGGGCCCCGUGGUCUGCCUGAUCCUCCCCCACCGUGGGCCCCUAAGCCUGGGGAGGUGGGAGCGGCCGCCUCCCUCCCCCUUUCCCAGCCAGAGCUGUGUGAGCUAAUCCCGGGGAGAAGACACAUUAGUACAAGAGAAUCAGUUCCCGCCUGCUCUGCUGAGUCAGCAGGAAGUACAGCCCUUGCUCUGCCAGCUACGUGAGCCCCUGCACGCCG